GAGCGGCGGACGGGUGAGUAACGCGUGGGGUAACCUGCCUCAUACAGGGGGAUAACAGUUAGAAAUGACUGCUAAUACCGCAUAAGACCACGGUACCGCAUGGUACAGUGGUAAAAACUCCGGUGGUAUGAGAUGGACCCGCGUCUGAUUAGGUAGUUGGUGGGGUAACGGCCUACCAAGCCGACGAUCAGUAGCCGACCUGAGAGGGUGACCGGCCACAUUGGGACUGAGACACGGCCCAGACUCCUACGGGAGGCAGCAGUGGGGAAUAUUGCACAAUGGGGGAAACCCUGAUGCAGCGACGCCGCGUGGAGGAAGAAGGUCUUCGGAUUGUAAACUCCUGUUGUUGAGGAAGAUAAUGACGGUACUCAACAAGGAAGUGACGGCUAACUACGUGCCAGCAGCCGCGGUAAAACGUAGGUCACAAGCGUUGUCCGGAAUUACUGGGUGUAAAGGGAGCGCAGGCGGGCGUUCAAGUUGGAAGUGAAAUCCAUGGGCUCAACCCAUGAACUGCUUUCAAAACUGGUCGUCUUGAGUAGUGCAGAGGUAGGCGGAAUUCCCGGUGUAGCGGUGGAAUGCGUAGAUAUCGGGAGGAACACCAGUGGCGAAGGCGGCCUACUGGGCACCAACUGACGCUGAGGCUCGAAAGUGUGGGUAGCAAACCAGGAUUAGAUACCCUGGUAGUCCACACCGUAAACGAUGAUUACUAGGGUGUUGGGAGAUUGACCCUCUCAGUGCCGCAGUUAACACAAUAAGUAAUCCACCUGGGGAGUACGACCGCAAGGUUGAAACUCAAAGGAAUUGACGGGGGCCCGCACAAGCAGUGGAGUAUGUGGUUUAAUUCGACGCAACGCGAAGAACCUUACCAAGUCUUGACAUCCCUUGACGAUGCUGGAAACAGUAUUUCUCUUCGGAGCAAGGAGACAGGUGGUGCAUGGUUGUCGUCAGCUCGUGUCGUGAGAUGUUGGGUUAAGUCCCGCAACGAGCGCAACCCUUAUGGUCAGUUACUACGCAAGAGGACUCUGGCCAGACUGCCGUUGACAAAACGGAGGAAGGUGGGGAUGACGUCAAAUCAUCAUGCCCUUUAUGACUUGGGCUACACACGUACUACAAUGGCGUUAAACAAAGAGAAGCAAGACCGCGAGGUGGAGCAAAACUCAGAAACAACGUCCCAGUUCGGACUGCAGGCUGCAACUCGCCUGCACGAAGUCGGAAUUGCUAGUAAUCGCGCAUCAGCCAUGGCGCGGUGAAUACGUUCCCGGGCCUUGCACAAACCGCCCGUCA
rnacentral:rRNA from 1 species